rnacentral:lncRNA from 1 species
AUGGUAGGUUUCCUUUUAUUCUUAAAUAUUUUUCUUACUUCUGUUUGUUUGUUCUAGUUUACAAUAUUAGAAUAAUACAAUUGUGUUUUUCUUCCUCAGGAGAACUCUUUCUUAAAGGUUAUUGGUCAUGUAGACCUAGACCUACCAGAACCACCUGAAAAGGCACCCCGUCCUCCCCUGCAGCCAGUUGAACUAUACUCAAGAUACGGCCCAAAGGCUGAGAUAACCCACAUCUUUAGGGCACCUGAAAAGCGUCCGCCUGAGGAGCUCUCCCUUGCUUUCUUGGGUCUUACACUUGUGCCAUUCAUUGGAUUCUUAAUUGGGGUGAGUUGCAUAUUAAUAUUUGUUAGAAAUUUAUGAACAUGUGAGAUAUGUUGUUAUCUUCUUUUGAAAAGCUUAUAAUAUGCCUAGACUGGAUUGACUUCUUGGUCACUGAAAUGGUUGGAUAUCCAUGCUGUGCACAGAGCUUUUGUACAAAUAAUAUGUUUUUAUCUUUUGUUCAGUGAAUUGGUUAGUCUUUUCUAGCUUGUUUAGGACACCAAGUACUGGAUUCAUCUUGGUACAUGUCUCCAUGCGCGCAAGUGAGCUUGUUACAACAUUAAAUUUCUGGUUGAAAUUAGGUUUUAGGUUUUUGGGAUCAGGAUCUGCUAGUGUAGUAACUUGUCAUAUGACCUCAGUGUGAAAGGCCUGGAGUCUGCACCUGGUUUAUAAUAGAAAAUGAAGGUACCUUUUUUGUGUUCUAUAAUUCACCCAAAUAGGGGAGAGUUAAGAGUUCAAAGUAUCCCGGAGCCCAUUAUUUGUGCCUGUUUUUUGUUGGCAUGUGAUGUGAACCAGUUCGCUCACAAGGUGGUAAUUAGUAACAUAUGUUAACAUGCUUUUUCUUUUGGCAGCUUUUACGUCUAGGGAUAAACCUGAAGAAUUUCCCUUCUUCACCUAUACCUGCUACAUUUGCCAUCCUGUUAAUUACUUUUUCAAAUUCAACCUGCUAUCAGCAGAACUGCAUUUUAUUGGUAAAUCAAUGCAUAGAAAUCAGGGGAUGUCUUCUCUCCCCAGCAAGUGGGAUCUGAUAGUGGAUAUAUCAAGAUGAUGGUAAACUGCUGUACAGAAAGUUAAUGAACAGGGAGUUCUUGAGUACAUGUCCAAUACCUUUUUACAUUUCUUAGGGUGCAUGAUGAACAUGACUGACUCUUUAACUUCCCUUGAGGGUGAAGUUGUCAUCCAGACCCUCAUUGUUUUGUAAUAUGAUCAGGAUUUACUGACUUCCCUCCCUGUGCUUCUGUUUUGCACCAGUGUUGUUUGCUUAUCUCAGAAAAUUAAAUUUUGCAAUAUUUUUUUGAUAUUCUACAAUUUGCCUUGUAGGAUUUUCUUGGACUCGUUGAGAAAUUUUACUAUCUAUCUGGCAGAUAUGACAUUCAGUUGACUGUUGGUGAUGCAGUCAUGGUAGGUUUCCUUUUAUUCUUAAAUAUUUUUCUUACUUCUGUUUGUUUGUUCUAGUUUACAAUAUUAGAAUAAUACAAUUGUGUUUUUCUUCCUCAGGAGAACUCUUUCUUAAAGGUUAUUGGUCAUGUAGACCUAGACCUACCAGAACCACCUGAAAAGGCACCCCGUCCUCCCCUGCAGCCAGUUGAACUAUACUCAAGAUACGGCCCAAAGGCUGAGAUAACCCACAUCUUUAGGGCACCUGAAAAGCGUCCGCCUGAGGAGCUCUCCCUUGCUUUCUUGGGUCUUACACUUGUGCCAUUCAUUGGAUUCUUAAUUGGGGUGAGUUGCAUAUUAAUAUUUGUUAGAAAUUUAUGAACAUGUGAGAUAUGUUGUUAUCUUCUUUUGAAAAGCUUAUAAUAUGCCUAGACUGGAUUGACUUCUUGGUCACUG